GAUGAACGCUGGCGACGUGCCUAAUACAUGCAAGUCGAGCGAACAGACGAGGAGCUUGCUCCUCUGACGUUAGCGGCGGACGGGUGAGUAACACGUGGAUAACCUACCUAUAAGACUGGGAUAACUUCGGGAAACCGGAGCUAAUACCGGAUAAUAUAUUGAACCGCAUGGUUCAAUAGUGAAAGACGGUUUUGCUGUCACUUAUAGAUGGAUCCGCGCCGCAUUAGCUAGUUGGUAAGGUAACGGCUUACCAAGGCGACGAUGCGUAGCCGACCUGAGAGGGUGAUCGGCCACACUGGAACUGAGACACGGUCCAGACUCCUACGGGAGGCAGCAGUAGGGAAUCUUCCGCAAUGGGCGAAAGCUUGACGGAGCAACGCCGCGUGAGUGAUGAAGGUCUUCGGAUCGUAAAACUCUGUUAUUAGGGAAGAACAAAUGUGUAAGUAACUAUGCACGUCUUGACGGUACCUAAUCAGAAAGCCACGGCUAACUACGUG
rnacentral:rRNA from 1 species